rnacentral:rRNA from 1 species
UACGUAGGUUGCAAGCGUUAAUCGGAAUUACUGGGCGUAAAGCGUGCGCAGGCGGUUUUGUAAGUCUGUCGUGAAAGCCCCGGGCUUAACCUGGGAAUUGCGAUGGAGACUGCAAGGCUUGAAUCUGGCAGAGGGGGGUAGAAUUCCACGUGUAGCAGUGAAAUGCGUAGAGAUGUGGAGGAAUACCGAUGGCGAAGGCAGCCCCCUGGGCCAAUACUGACGCUCAUGCACGAAAGCGUGGGGAGCAAACAGG